UCCGUAGGUGAACCUUGCGGAAGGAUCAUUACCGAGUGCGGGCUGCCUCCGGGCGCCCAACCUCCCACCCGUGACUACCUAACACUGUUGCUUCGGCGGGGAGCCCCCCAGGGGCGAGCCGCCGGGGACCACUGAACUUCAUGCCUGAGAGUGAUGCAGUCUGAGCCUGAAUACAAAUCAGUCAAAACUUUCAACAAUGGAUCUCUUGGUUCCGGCAUCGAUGAAGAACGCAGCGAACUGCGAUAAGUAAUGUGAAUUGCAGAAUUCAGUGAAUCAUCGAGUCUUUGAACGCACAUUGCGCCCCCUGGCAUUCCGGGGGGCAUGCCUGUCCGAGCGUCAUUGCUGCCCUCAAGCCCGGCUUGUGUGUUGGGUCGUCGUCCCCCCCGGGGGACGGGCCCGAAAGGCAGCGGCGGCACCGUGUCCGGUCCUCGAGCGUAUGGGGCUUUGUCACCCGCUCGAUUAGGGCCGGCCGGGCGCCAGCCGGCGUCUCCAACCUUAUUUUUCUCAGGUUGACCUCGGAUCAGGUAGGGAUACCCGCUGAACUUAAGCAUAUCAAUAAGCGGAGGA
rnacentral:misc_RNA from 2 species